UACGGGGGAGCAAGCGUUGUUCGGAUUUACUGGGCGUAAAGGGCGCGUAGGCGGUCAGCACAAGUCAGUUGUGAAAUCUCCGGGCUUAACUCGGAAAGGUCAACUGAUACUGUGCGACUAGAGUGCAGAAGGGGCAACUGGAAUUCUUGGUGUAGCGGUGAAAUGCGUAGAUAUCAAGAGGAACACCUGCGGCGAAGGCGGGUUGCUGGGCUGACACUGACGCUGAAGCGCGAAAGCCAGGGGAGCGAACGGG
rnacentral:rRNA from 1 species